GCUGGGUGUGGUGGUGCAUGCCUGUGAUCCCAGCUACUCAGGAGGCUGAGGUGGGAGGAUUGUUUGCGCCCAGGAGGUCGAGGUUGCAGUGAGCUGAGAUUGCACCACUGCCCUCCAGCCUGGGUGACAGAGCAAGAUCCUAUCUCAG
ensembl:misc_RNA Metazoa_SRP Metazoan signal recognition particle RNA